AGUUCAGAUUGCAGGCUGCAACCCGCCUGCAUGAAGUCGGAAUUGCUAGUAAUCGCGGAUCAGCAUGCCGCGGCGAAUACGUUCCCGGGCCUUGUACACACCGCCCGUCACACCAUGGGAGCCGGUAAUACCCGAAGUCAGUAGUCCAACCUCGUGAGGACGCUGCCGAAGGUAGGAUUGGCGACUGGGGUGAAGUCGUAACAAGGUACC
rnacentral:rRNA from 1 species